AGGCUAAAAACAGCUGUAUUCAAUACAGUGGUUAAAAAAAUAUAAUGCUGGUAAAGAAGACCAAAUGUUGGAACUGGCUGCAGAUCAAAGCACGGCAGGAUGAAAGCGAAGCACAAGGAAGAGAAAACUCCAGGAGGUCCUCCAGAGCCUGAACCAGAUGGAUGACUUUAUCCUGACAGCCCGAGGAAACCAACCCACGGCCAGUGUGUGCUUGUGCACGUGGGAACCAGGAACAGGAGCCAUGAUUUUACAUGACGCUCUCGCUCUGAGGGAAAAUGUGCCGCUAUGCUACUGUUGUCUCCACCCGUCUUCUCCUCUCUAGUGAGUGGCAGUGCCUCAGCAGAGGCUCCUUGUCAUUUUAGAGAAGCCCUGUCAACGCACCAUCAUCUUGUGUCCACGCAUGCGCACACACCUGCGCAGUGUCCGCGAACAUGUCUCCCUCCCAAGAGGGUUAGCCGAUAAUCUCAGUUCCCUGUGUCUGGCACAAGGAAGGAACAACAUAUUUGUGUACUGAGUACAAGACUGAAUAGCCUGGAUGUGAGAGAGGCACCAAGACCUAACAUUAAAAACCCAAGACGGCUCAAAGCUCCAGCUUAACUCUCGCACCAGUUACGAAUGUGCAAAAGUAAACAAGUCACAACCUAGAGGAGCCUCGGGACUGUAGAGCAGGGAUCAUGAAACUUGCCUGCCCAGCUGAAAGAAAUAUUGGAAGCUAAGUGAGGGGAAGAACAGUGUGAUGGUUAGCGUCCUGUGCCAAUGUGGCUGGGCUGCAGCGCUCUGUUAUUUAAUCAAAUACUGAAUUAAUCUGGGUGUCACCGCGGAAGUAUUUGUAAAUAUGGUUCACAUCUACAGUCGGUUUGACUUUGCAUAAAAGGAAAUUGCUCUGUCUGGUCGCUGCAGGCCACCGUUGGAAAGCUUUAGAAGCAAGGCACUGAGUUUUCUCAGCAAACUUGAUCAGCUUUUGCCUGAGCCUGGAGCCUACAGGCUUGCCUUCUUGCUUACCAUCACCGCAUUUUUCUCCUCAGUCAAGGCAUAAGAAUGUUGCUGAAAUUCUUUCUCUGGGGGAGAUGUAAAGCAAUGUCUAACCCUCUUCCUGAAGUCCUUAGACAAACCAACAAACAGAGGCAUGAUUCUACCAGAGCUCACUCUGGAAAGCCAACUAAUUUCCUGGGCUUUCUUGCAGAGCUUGUGUGAGAAGUUACUCACAGGGAUGUGGGCACCCCACCUUCUGCAGUACCCGAAAAGCCUUACCCAGCAGGGAAAAGGGCUUCCUCAGAAGCGUGUUGAUGAGUCCCUCCAACCCUUGUCUUCACCUGCUUCUACAUACUCUAGCCCCCGCCCCAGGGCAGGUGCAGCAUUUUCAGAUAAAGGGAGCAGCUGUAUACUCAGGAGAAGAUCUUGUGUCUUACCCCCACAGUGCAAACCGUUGAUAAGCCAGCUGGGAUGAUUUUUCACAAGAGCAGUGCAUCUGAUCUCACCCAGAUGGCAGUUUCUUGGCACAUAGGACAAUCAUGGAAGAAGGUUCUUGGGGCUCAGAUACAGGCCUCGUGCCUGGAAAUGAUGGAGUCUGCAGCCGAGGCGCGUCUGAGUGGGUCUUCUUACAGACACUGCUUGCCCUUCACCCAUCCCUCCCACUUUCCCACACUCCCCCCUCCCACGCCACAGGCAUUUUAUGACAGAAU